rfam:Fusarium graminearum chromosome 1, complete genome
UUCCCUUUGCCACCUUGGCUUGAAUCAAAGUGUAGUAUCUGUUCUUGUAUAGGCUAAUCCCUUUACACUAUUUUCUUAACCUAAUUUUUGAUCAAAUUGGUGAUGGUACAACUACGCUUGCGUUGGUGAACCAUCUCCACUGUGUCCUUGGUAUCACACUGCCUCCAAGCGAUGUAAAUUGACU